AGAGUUUGAUCMUGGCUCAGAACGAACGCUGGCGGCGUGCUUAACACAUGCAAAGUCGAACGGGAUCCAGAGCUUGCUCUGGUGAGAGUGGCGCACGGGUGAGUAACGCGUGGAUAACCUGCCCUGGUAUCUGGAAUAACAUCUCGAAAGGGGUGCUAAUACCGGAUAAGCCCACGGGGUCUUCGGACUCUGCGGGAAAAGGUGGCCUCUGAAUAUGCUACCGUAUCAGGAUGGGUCCGCGUACCAUUAGCUAGUUGGUAGGGUAAUGGCCUACCAAGGCUACGAUGGUUAGCUGGUCUGAGAGGAUGAUCAGCCACACUGGAACUGAGACACGGUCCAGACUCCUACGGGAGGCAGCAGUGGGGAAUUUUGCGCAAUGGGGGAAACCCUGACGCAGCAACGCCGCGUGAGUGAUGAAGGCUUUCGGGUCGUAAAGCUCUGUCAGUAGGGAAGAAGUGUAAGGGUGCUAAUACCAUCUUUACUUGACGGUACCUACAAAGGAAGCACCGGCUAACUCCGUGCCAGCCGCCGCGGUAAUA
rnacentral:rRNA from 1 species